rnacentral:rRNA from 1 species
GACGAACGCUGGCGGCGUGCUUAACACAUGCAAGUCGAACGGAAAGGCCUCUUUCGGGUGGUACUCGAGUGGCGAACGGGUGAGUAACACGUGAGUAACCUGCCCUUUACUUUGGGAUAACUUCAGGAAACUGGGGCUAAUACCGGAUAGGAGCUCCUGCUGCAUGGUGGGGGGUGGGAAGUUUCUGCGGGUGGGGGUGGACUCGCGGCUUAUCAGCGUUUUUGUGGGGUAGUGGCUUACCAAGGCUUUGACGGGUAUCCGGCCUGGGAGGGUGACCGGCCACAUUGGGACCGGGAUAAGGCCCAGAAUCCCAAGGGGGGCAGCAGGGGGGAAUAUUGGCACAUGGGUGGGAGCCUGAUGCAGCAAAGCCGUGUGCGGGAUGACGGCCUUCGGGUUGGAAACCGCUUUCGGUCAUGACGAAGCUUUGUGUGACGGUAGUGGGUAAAGAAGCACCGGCUAACUACGUG